rnacentral:rRNA from 1 species
UACAGAGGUCCCGAGCGUUGUUCGGAUUCACUGGGCGUAAAGGGUGCGUAGGUGGCAUAGAAAGUUUGAUGUGAAAGCUCAGGGCUUAACCCUGAAAUGGCAUUGAAUACUGCUGUGCUGGAGGUUUGGAGGGGGGACUGGAAUUCUUGGUGUAGCAGUGAAAUGCGUAGAUAUCAAGAGGAACACCAGUGGCGAAGGCGAGUCCCUGGACAACACCUGACACUGAGGCACGAAAGCGUGGGGAUCAAACAGG